rnacentral:rRNA from 1 species
UACGGGGGGAGCAAGCGUUGUUCGGAUUUACUGGGCGUAAAGGGCGCGUAGGCGGCCACCGCAAGUCGACUGUGAAAUCUCCGGGCUUAACCCGGAAAGGUCAGCCGAUACUGCGGGGCUAGAGUGCAGAAGGGGCAACUGGAAUUCUCGGUGUAGCGGUGAAAUGCGUAGAUAUCGAGAGGAACACCUGCGGCGAAGGCGGGUUGCUGGGCUGACACUGACGCUGAGUGCGCGAAAGCCAGGGGAGCAAACGGG